rnacentral:lncRNA from 1 species
UUCUGAAAUCCGAGUAAUCUCGUCUUCUUCGUUUGAUUCUGACCAUGAGGUAAGCUUAUACUUCUGUCUUUGUAGUUCUAUGUCAGUUUUCAGGGUUGUUUGUCCAUUGCAGUUUAGCAUUCGAGUUGGAUUUGGGAUUUAGAGUUUCUCUAGAAAUUGAUUUUCGGGUUUAAACAUUUUGUGUUUGGGUGUUAACUUGAUUAUUAGUGUUUUUUGUUGAUAUUCAUAUUCUCUCUAUUUUCUAAUUGGUAUUCUUUCAUCUUAUUAUAUAGAUGUCAGGUUGUAAAGACAAUGAUAAACUACUUGGAGAUGGCAUUGAACCACAUGCAAAUGUAGCUACCGGAAAAAAAGAUCAGCUUCAGAGAGGUCAAAUUCUGA